GUGCCAGCAGCCGCGGUAAUUCCAGCUCCAAUAGCGUAUAUUAAAGUUGUUGUGGUUAAAAAGCUCGUAGUUGAACCUUGGGCCUGGCUGGCCGGUCCGCCUCACCGCGUGCACUGGUCCGGCCGGGCCUUUCCCUCUGUGGAACCCCAUACCCUUCACUGGGCGUGGCGGGGAAACAGGACAUUUACUUUGAAAAAAUUAGAGUGCUCCAGGCAGGCCUAUGCUCGAAUACAUUAGCAUGGAAUAAUAAAAUAGGACGCGCGGUUCUAUUUUGUUGGUUUAUAGGACCGCCGUAAUGAUUAAUAGGGACAGUCGGGGGCAUCAGUAUUCAACUGUCAGAGGUGAAAUUCUUGGAUCAGUUGAAGACUAACUACUGCGAAAGCAUUUGCCAAGGAUGUUUUCAUUAAUCAGGAACGAAAGUUAGGGGAUCGAAGACGAUCAGAUACCGUCGUAGUCUUAACCAUAAACUAUGCCGACUAGGGAUCGGACGGUGUUAUUCAUGACCCGUUCGGCACCUUACGAGAAAUCAAAGUGCUUGGGCUCCAGGGGGAGUAUGGUCGCAAGGCUGAAACUUAAAGAAUUUGACGGAAAGGGCACCACCAGGGGUGGAAGCCUGCGGCUUAAUUUGACUCAACACGGGGAAACUCACCAGGUCCAGACACAAUAAGGGAUUGACAGAUUGAGAGCUCUUUUCUUGAUUUUGUGGGUGGUGGUGCAUGGGCCGUUCUUAGUUGGUGGGGUGACUUGUCUGCUUAAUUGCGAUAACGACGAGACCUUUAACCUGCUAGAUAGCCCGCAUUGCUCCGGGCAAUGCGCUGGGCUUCUAUAGAGGGAACU
rnacentral:rRNA from 1 species